UACGUAGGGGGCAAGCGUUGUCCGGAAUCAUUGGGCGUAAAGAGCUCGUAGGCGGUUUGUCGCGUCUGUCGUGAAAGCUUGGGGCUUAACCCCAAGUCUGCGGUGGAUACGGGCAGACUAGAGGCAGGUAGGGGAGAACGGAAUUCCCGGUGUAGCGGUGAAAUGCGCAGAUAUCGGGAGGAACACCGGUGGCGAAGGCGGUUCUCUGGGCCUGUACUGACGCUGAGGAGCGAAAGCGUGGGGAGCGAACAGG
rnacentral:rRNA from 1 species